rnacentral:rRNA from 1 species
GACGAACGCUGGCGGCGUGCUUAACACGUGCAAGUCGAGCGAGAAAGCACCUUCGGGUGUGAGUAAAGCGGCGAACGGGUGAGUAACACGUGGGUAACCUGCACUGGAGCCCGGGACAACCAUUCGAAAGGAUGGCUAAUACCGGAUAUCCUGCGGAAUCGCAUGGUUCCGUCGAAAAUGGUAGCUUCGGCUUCUGCUUCAGGAUGGACCCGCGGGCCAUGAGCUUGUUGGUAGGGUAACGGCCUACCAAGGGGACGAUGGGUAGCCGGCCUGAGAGGGUGAUCGGGCACAAUGGAACUGGGACACGGUCCAGACUCCUACGGGAGGCAGCAGUGGGGAAUCUUGCGCAAUGGGCGAAAGCCUGACGCAGCAACGCCGCGUGGGGGAAGAAGGCCUUAGGGUUGUAAACCUCUGUCAGGAGGGACGAAGCCACCUGCGUUAAUAGCGUAAGGGGUGACGGUACCUCCAAAGGAAGCCCCGGCUAACUACGUGCCAGCAGCCGCGGUAAGAC